UACGAAGGGGGCUAGCGUUGUUCGGAAUUACUGGGCGUAAAGCGCACGUAGGCGGAUUUGUAAGUAGGGGGUGAAAUCCCAGGGCUCAACCCUGGAACUGCCUUCUAAACUGCAAGCCUGGAGGUCAGGAGAGGCGAGUGGAAUACCGAGUGUAGAGGUGAAAUUCGUAGAUAUUCGGUGGAACACCAGUGGCGAAGGCGACUCGCUGGACUGAUACUGACGCUGAGGUGCGAAAGCGUGGGGAGCAAACAGG
rnacentral:rRNA from 1 species